AUGUUGUCUUGUCUCUGUCCUUUCCCUUCACCCUGUCUCCCUCUGCUGGUCGUUGUUAUGUUACCUUUUCUCCCCCUCUUUUCCCCAGCUGUGCCUUGUCUCCUCCUAAUUACCCAUUCACCCCGUUCCCCACCUGUUCCCUUUUUCCCUCUGAUUAGGUCCCUAUAUCUGUCUCUGUUUCUGCUCCUGUCCUUGUCGGAUUCUUGUUUGUUUGUGUGUCUCAUGCCUGAACCAGACUAUCAUCGUGUGUGCUGCAACCUUGUCCUGUCCUGUCGGAAUCUACCUGUCCAUCUGAGCCCACGUAUGUUCGUCAUUAAAGUACUCUGUUUGUUAAUUCGCUUUUGGGUCCUCAUUCACGCACCAUAACACAUGUAUGCCCGAGGUCUACAAAAUAAGUGUCAUUUAACUAUCUCCCCUCUGAUCAAGUUGCACAAAUAUAUAGUUGUGUGUGCUUUCUCUCUUUUUUACUCUCUCAUAUGAAAAAGGUCAACUGUAAAACCACAUAAACAAAACUUGUUUUGGACAGCAAAGCUGUUGUUGAGCACUGAUACUCUACCUCUGCAUUCAGCACCACUGAAGUGGACAGCGACUGAAUCGGUUUUCUGAAGUUCAGCCCCAGAUGUCAGUGGAAAGCGACUGUGUAUAGUCAAUGGCAGUGUGGAAUGAUGGUAAGGCCAUUAUACUUUAACCUAGAAAGGAACCUGUACUGAACAAAAAUAUAAAUGCAACAUGCAACAAUCAAUUAAAAAAAAUGUGUUGGUCCCUAAUCUACGGAAUUCACAUAACUGGGAAUACAGAUAUGCAUCUCGUGUCACAGAUACCUUAGGGGCAUGGAUAAGAAAACCAGUACCACCAUUUGCCUCACGCAGCCGUUUGCCUCAUGCAAACGUACUGCCAAAUUCUCUAAAAUGACGUUGGAGUCGGCUUAUGGUAGAGAAAUUAACAUUAAAUUCUCUAGUAACAGCUCUAGUGGACAUUCCUGCAGUCAGCAUGCCAAUUGCACGCUCUCUCAAAACUUGAGAUAGCUGUGGCAUUGUGUUGUGUGGCAAAACUGCACAUCUUAGAGUGCCAUUUUAUUGUCCCCAGUACAAGGUGCACCUGUGUAAUGAUCAUGCUGUUUAAUCAGCUUCUUGAUAUACCACACCUGUCAGGUGGAUGGAUUAUCUUGGCUAAAGAGAAAUGCUCACUAACAUGGAUGUAAACAAAUUUGUGCACAAAAUUAUAGAGAAAUUCCAUACGCUCUUGUGCGUAUGAAAAUGUCUAUUUCAGCUCAUGAAACAUAGAACCAACACUUUACAUAUUGCGUUUAUAUUUUUGUUCAGUCAUAUAACCCUGUGUGUCAUGUUCUUCAUCUCAAACCAGGGGUUAUCCAGCUCUGACAUCCCGCUUGCUUGGUCAACACAAUCUCAGUCAACUUUUCACCCCUAGCUAAUAUGAACACUCACCACUCGCUAGGUCAAACAAACUGAGACACUUUGAAGCCAGUUCUGUGGUUAAAGUGAGUGUGAAAUCCAAUGUAGUAUCUUCAUGCAGGAAAUGAGUCUUCAAACAUGGCAUUGAAGCGAGAAGCUACAAUUAAAAGUGUUUCAUAGGUGUCUCACACCUUCCUCUCCCAGCAAUCCAUUUCUACCAGUUAGACUCUGCCUCUGAUCAAAGAGAUCAGGAUGUUCUGCCAUUAUCUCCACUCUCAUACAACUCAACUCCACAUUGAUGUGCCAAACAGAGCAACAACUGCAAGAUAGGCUCUCUGAAAACCACUAGGACAGGAGCUUUCCUCCUGAAAAGAAAACUUACAUAAAAAACACUAGAAAUUGGAUUGCAUUUCCAGUCUCUCUCAACAAUCCACUCCAAUUUAGAUGAUU
rnacentral:lncRNA from 13 species